ACAGAUAAGAGCCCUUCAGCAACAGGAGGAGCAGAGAGAUGAAGAAGCAGAAGCAGAGGAGGAGGAGGCACUGAUGAUGGGAGAGAAAGGGCCCUUUUAGAAGCACACAUGGACACACACACACACACACACAUACACAACGAGCCAUGGCAUUAGUCGAAAAAGUCAGGAGCAUGCAGCAGCUCUCACAAUAAGUUAGUGGAAGCCAGGACAGUACCAGUCAGUCUCAUGCCCUCAGCAGCAUUGCAGCAGCAUGGUUGUCAGUCCCUCAAGCUGCUGCUUACUGCUCACUGCUCUGAUUUGCCAUGAGUCCCUCCAAUCCUGCAGACUGGGACACUGACGAGCUCCAAUGAUCACCACCAGUUCCACUCUCCUCCUCUUGCAGUGCAUACUACCGCACACGGUUGUAGAACCAUGUUGAUCCA
rnacentral:lncRNA from 1 species